rnacentral:rRNA from 1 species
CACGUAGGGGGCGAGCGUUGUCCGGAUUUAUUGGGCGUAAAGGGCGCGUAGGCGGCCACGCACGUCCGUUGUGAAAUCGCCCGGCUCAACUGGGCGGGGUCAGCGGAUACGGUGUGGCUAGAGCAAGCUAGGGGGCAAUGGAAUUCCCGGUGUAGUGGUGGAAUGCGUAGAUAUCGGGAGGAACACCAGUGGCGAAGGCGGUUGCCUGGAGCUUUGCUGACGCUGAUGCGCGAAAGCGUGGGGAGCGAUCCGG